UCGUCUCCACCUGCCCAAAAAGGAUUGACAAUACGAAGAAGGAACAAGUCGCUACUGGAAGCAAAGAAGUCAACGCGUGCUCGAAGAUUGUUCGAGAUUAAUGAAUACACUCGAGGACGACUGAUUUAUCAGAAUGGCCGUGACGGCAGCCACCUUAUUUAACAGUUUUGAGAGACGGCGGCUAGAUGGCGCUAGUGGAACGUGCACCGGACGCAUCAUUAUCGACAGUCCAAUAUUGUAACGGUUCUCCC
rnacentral:misc_RNA from 1 species